GCUCAGUUGGUGGAAUUGGUAUACACGAUUGAUUCAAAAUCUUUCAAAUUAUAGGUUCGAGUCCUAUACUGAGUACCA
rnacentral:tRNA from 1 species